rnacentral:lncRNA from 10 species
GCCUGACAAAUUGUAGACACUUAGAAUAUGUCUCUCAACUAAUCCUGAUAGGUUUCUCACAGUAAUCUCAAGGCGAUCCAGGCAAAACACAAGCUUUCUUUAAGCCUUUGACGAAGACCACUCAAGCAAAAUGGGUGUUUUAAUUAGCACAUUGUGCUGAACAGUUCAUGUUUGCACACAAGUGAAAAGGGAUUUACACAGAAGAAAGGAGGAAAUCUCCUGCACAGGUUUUCUAGCCAUGAAGAAAUAAAGAUAGUAGCAAUAUUUGUGGUAGCCAGAAUGGUACUCCAAAGAAGUCCAUGGCCAACUCCUGGAAUUGGAAUAUGUAGCAGUUUUUCCAUACUUCCAGUCAGUGGGCUCUUCUGUGGAGGGGAGAAUACUCUUGAGACUCAACUCAUCUAGAGGAACUGAGACCUUGGUAAGGAGCAGUCUGACUUCUGAAAAAGGCCAAAGGUCCUGAAAGCUGCUCCAGAUGCUGGGUCACCUCAAGUCCUGUAUUUUAAUGGUUCUUUUUUCUUCUGGGUGUUUUUAAUCCGGGUUCUCCCAAAACAUCUCACUCACCCACACUCCCUGCUUUUGAUAACCCUCAUCUUGCUCUGAUCUUAACCUCACCCCUCACCCCUACCAAACAGACUAAGAUUGGGGUUAUUCUCCCACAUCCUAAGCAUGAUUUGGUGGGUUUAUAAUCUCUCCUCACUGCUAUCACCACAUUCCAACACUGCCUCACCUGGUGACCGAUAUAGACCAGCAUUAAUUAAUUCAUUCAUUUAUUCUUCAACAAUGUGUAUGGAACACUUGCUAUGUGCCAGGCACUGUUCCAAUAAUAAGAUUAUCAUUAGAUGAUUGCUGUACUUGCUAUGUAUACAGCCCUGAACAAAACAAAUAAAACCAUCUCCCUUCAUGGAGCUGACAUUCUAAAAAGCAGGAGUUAGAAAAUGAUUUUGGACCUUUUAAGAAUGUCACUUAAAAUAUUUUCCUUCAUCUCUUACACCUUCCAGCAGCCAUCCCUACUGUCCACUCUUUCCAUUUCCCCAUGAGAAAAAUAAAAAUUUUUUUAUAUGUAAGUAUGAUACUAGAUCUUUUCUAGGCAUUUUCAAAUAUUAUUGAAGUGGUUCCUUAAACAACUUUGUAAGAUACAAUAUUUUUAAAACUUUUUAUUUUGAUAUAGAUUUAGAUUUCCAGAAAAGUUGCAAAAAUAGUUCAGAGAAUUCACAUCGACCCUUCACCCUGCUUCCCCCAAUAUUAACAUCUUAUGUAACUAAGAAAUAUUUAUCAAAACUAAGAAAUUAAUACUGAUGCUGGACUGUUAAACUAUAGACUUUAUUCAGAUUUCACAAAAUUUUCUAGUUUCCACUAAUCCUUUGUCUGUUCUAGGAGUCAAUAGAGAAUUCCACAUUGCAUUUUCUUUAAUCUUCUCCAAUCUGUGGCAAUUUCUUAGCUUUUAUUUUUCAUGCUGGUGACACCUUUGAAAAGAACUAGUUGGGUAUUUGCAGAAUGCCCCUCAAUUUGGAUUUGUCUGAUGGUUUCUCAUGAUUAGACUGGGGUUAUGGAUUUUGGGGAAAAAUACCACAAAAGUAAUUUAUCUUAUUCAUUGCAUUAAUGAAGCCUUCUUCUUCAGGGGCUACACAAUGUCACUAUGACAGUACUGGUGACGUUAACUGUGAUCACUUGCUUACGGUGGUGUCUGCUGGAUUUCUCCACCUAAAAGUGGUAUCUUUUCCUAUGUCCUUUGUUAGAAAAAGUCUGAGCCCAGCAAACAUUAUAGGAAAGGGGGAUUAAGGCCCACCUCCUGAAAGGAGGACUGUGAAAGAAUCUGUAGACACGUUAAAACCACCAAUCUAUUUAAUGAAUAUUUGGGGGAGAUACUUUGAGGCUAUCCAAAUAUCCUGUGUAACGUUUCAGCAUUUACUUGUGGAUCUUGUAUGCAGCAAUCAUCUAAUGAUAAUCGUAUCUUAGUCUUUCUACAUGUACUUGAAGUUAAUCUGCUCCUUUCCCUAUUUAUUUGACCAUUUAUUUAUAUCAUUUUGAACUCACAGAUAUCUAUUUCAUGCAUGUUCCUGCCUAAUUAUGUAGUUGUGAAGUGCAGAUAAAUAAAUUGAGAUUCAAAGCAUUUUCAUGAUUCACCCAGGGUCACACAGUCACUCAGCUGCAAAACAGGAUCGGUCAUUUAAGUUUCCUCACUUUCAGUUCUAUGCUGUCUAUGGUUCACCUGGCAAACAACUUGCUACACAGCAUAAGUUAAUAAAUACUUGAUGAACAAACUAAUGAAUGAAUAACAUAGUAAACUUACAAAUUUAUUUGGCCAUUGGAAUUGACUCUUGCUAAUCUUAUUUUAAGAACACAGAGAACUAGGAAAUGUGUAAUAGAGAGAGAUUUGAAUACCAACCCCACAAAGAAAGUUUAUUCAGCAGCAGAAAAGGUUUCUUCCUGUUCACAAGGUGAUUUGGUAGCUUUGGCAUUUGCCCAAAUGUUCAGAAUAUAUCAUCGGUUCCUUGGCCUGAUUUCCUUUUAGGAGAGAAUGAAUAUAUAAUCCCUGGGAAGAGAAACCCAGAAGCCACUUUUCCUGAUAAUUCACAAUGACCCCUAUGUGCGACUCUAACAAUUCUCCCAGAAUCUAAGAACUCCCUCCCCAAGGGCAGAAGUCUUGUCAAAUUUGCAUAGUAGGUACUCAAUGAAUGUUGCCCAAUGUGGAUCUCGCUUUUUGUGGUUCUUUCGUAUUAACAGACUAUCACAAGGCCAGAGCUCCUUCAUUCAGCUGCCACUGAUUUCAGGUUUCAUUAUGUUCUUCAAUGGAAACAUCAGUAAAUAAACUGUGUUAUUAAAAGACUUAUGUCCUAGAAACAAUAGAGUCAGUAGAAAUGUCUGGCACCUUGCCCAAUUUCUGAUGCACAGUAGGUGCAAAGUAAAUAUUUGAAGAAUUAACCCAUAAAGAAAUGAAUGUGUGGGCUAGAGUAGUUAGGAAACACUUCAUGCAGGAGAUGGAGUUUGGACAGGACCAAGAAGGAUGCUGGUGACAAGUGGAAAGGGCUUAUCCCAACAAUACUGAAUGCUAUUCCUUUUAUAGUUUUAGUCAUGUCAGCUAGUAAUAAGACUUUUUUCUUUACUUAGACUCCCAUAUUAACUAAGAAAAAAACCAACACCCUCUAAUAAACUUACAAUUGUUUCCCAAGUCCUUAAUGGCUCUGUCUUGGUAUGUUUAAUUGGUAUAUGACAACAAGAGAUGAAAGGCAAGCAUUCAACCAUCUGGUAUGGGAUCAUGUAACAAUAAUCCCAUUUUCCCAACCCACAAGAAGGCAAUCCUGUCAAUCAUACACCACCCAAAGUCAAACAAUUCCGAAUUCUAGGGCCUGAUGACACCCUACUUCUAAUGAGUGAUUUCUAUUUUUUCAGGAAUGUAUAUUAUGUAACAGAAACUCAACAGAAAGUGGCUCACACUAAAAGGGCCUUAUUGUCCCAUUAGACUGGAUGGGCUCACAGAAACAAAAGUGUCACUAAGGGAAGAAGGGAAGCUCUGGGACCAAUGAGAACUAGCCUAAGAAGUUGAUGCUGAUAUGAUCAUUUACUUGUACAUCCAGCUCUUAAACCUACCUUCUCUGAUUUUAUUCCCUCC